rnacentral:rRNA from 1 species
AGCGAACGCUGGCGGCAGGCCUAACACAUGCCAGUCGAACGAACCUUUCGGGGUUAGUGGCGGACGGGUGAGUAACACGUGGGAACGUGCCUUUAGGUUCGGAAUAACUCAGGGAAACUUGUGCUAAUACCGAAUGUGCCCUUCGGGGGAAAGAUUAAUCGCCUUUAGAGCGGCCCGCGUCUGAUUAGCUAGUUGGUUGAGGUAAUGGCUCACCAAGGCGACGAUCAGUAGCUGGUCUGAGAGGAUGAUCAGCCACAUUGGGACUGAGACACGGCCCAAAAGAGUAGGGGGGGGAGCAGUGUGGAACGGAGGUAAGGGGCGAAAAGCGGUCGGCAGCGUGGUGGUGGUAAUGAAGAAGGUCUGAGGAGUCUAAUAUUCUGUCACCGGAGACGAUAAGGCUGGGACCGGGACAAGAAGCAGCGGCUAACUGCGUGCCAGGAGCCGCGUUAAUCAGCGAAGAGACACGUCUGAAC